rnacentral:rRNA from 1 species
UGGGGAAUAUUGGACAAUGGGCGAAAGCCUGAUCCAGCCAUGCCGCGUGUGUGAAGAAGGUCUUCGGAUUGUAAAGCACUUUAAGUUGGGAGGAAGGGCAGUAAGCGAAUACCUUGCUGUUUUGACGUUACCGACAGAAUAAGCACCGGCUAACUCUGUGCCAGCAGCCGCGGUAAUACAGAGGGUGCAAGCGUUAAUCGGAAUUACUGGGCGUAAAGCGCGCGUAGGUGGUUCGUUAAGUUGAAUGUGAAAGCCCCGGGCUCAACCUGGGAACUGCAUCCAAAACUGGCGAGCUAGGGUAGGGCAGAGGGUGGUGGAAUUUCCUGGGUAGCGGUGAAAUGCGUAGAUAUAGGAAGGAAAACCAGUGGCGAAGGCGACCACCUGGGCUCAUACUGACACUGAGGUGCGAAAGCGUGGGGAGCAAACAGG